CAAUAGCGUAUACUAAAGUUGUUGCGAUUAAAAAGCUCGUAGUUGGAUCUCAGGCAUGGGCGCACGGUCCGCCUCGCGGCGGUCACUGUGUGUUUUGUUUCCCAUCCUACGCUUCCCGGUUAUCAGCCCAUGGUGCUCUUCACUGAGCGUUUUGGGUGGCCGGAACGUUUACUUUGAAGAAAUUAGAGUGUUCAAAGCAGGCACGUCGCCUGAAUAAUGGUGCAUGGAAUAAUGGAAUAGGACCUCGGUUCUAUUUUGCUGGUUUUCGGAACACGAGGUAAUGAUUAAGAGGGACAGACGGGGGCAUCCGUAUUGCGGUGUUAGAGGUGAAAUUCUUGGAUCAUCGCAAGACGAACAACUGCGAAAGCAUUUACCAAGCAUGUUUUCAUUAG
rnacentral:rRNA from 1 species